rnacentral:rRNA from 1 species
GAUGAACGCUGGCGGCGUGCCUAAUACAUGCAAGUCGAGCGAACAGACGAGGAGCUUGCUCCUUCGACGUUAGCGGCGGACGGGUGAGUAACACGUAGGUAACCUACCUAUAAGACUGGGAUAACUUCGGGAAACCGGAGCUAAUACCGGAUAAUAUUUCGAACCGCAUGGUUCGAUAGUGAAAGAUGGCUUUGCUAUCACUUAUAGAUGGACCUGCACCGUAUUAGCUAGUUGGUAAGGUAACGGCUUACCAAGGCAACGAUACGUAGCCGACCUGAGAGGGUGAUCGGACACACUGGAACUGAGACACGGUGCAGACUCCUACGGGAGGCAGCAGUAGGGAAUCUUCCGCAAUGGGCGAAAGCCUGACGGAGGAACGCCGCGUGAGUGAUGAAGGUCUUCGGAUCGUAAAACUCUGUUAUUAGGGAAGAACAAACGUGUAAGUAACUGUGCACGUCUUGACGGUACCUAAUCAGAAAGCCACGGCUAACUACGUG